AUAACGUGAGGAGACCGAUAGAUUACAAGUAGUGUGAACGAAAGAUGAAAAGAACUCUAAAACAGAGGGUGAAAAGUUCCUGAACUUGCUUAGGGUUAAGGCUAUUUAUAGUACCCGUCUUGAAACACGGAUUAGGGAGUUUAUCUGUAGUGCGAGUCUUUGCACGUUAACUGUAAAGGCGUAGAGAAAGCAACUGGCGUUUGCAUGGCUACUGAGCAUUACUGAUAGGACCCGAAAGGUGGUGAACUUUGCCUGCACAGGUUGAAGUCAGGGGAAACUCUGAUGGAGGACCGUACGGGUUAUUGAUGUGCAAAUCAUUUUUCUGAUGUAGGUAAAGGUGCGAAAGACUCAUCGAACCACCUAAUAGCUGGUUUCCUCCGAAGUUUCCCUCAGGAUAGCUGUAAUGCAUUUAGUUAAGGGGAGUAGAGAUAUGGGUAGAGGUGCAGGGAGCCUUCGGGUUCUCAACUUAUUUCCAAACUUCGAACCUCCUUGUUAGGCAUUUACCUAACUGGAAAUGCUUAAAUGAAUUAGCGUUACAAGUGGGCUCUGACCGGUAAGCGGUCAUGGCGAAAUGGGAUGAACCAUACGUCUGAAUAAGGUGCCGAAAUGUACUAUCACUGAUACCAUAAAGGGAGUCCAUGUAUUUAGACAGCAGGUCGGUGCCCCUAAAAGCAGGUAUCCGCUAAAGAGUGUGUUAAAACUCACCUGCCGAAUACUAGGGCCCCGAAAAUGAAUGGCGCAUAUAGUACUACCGAUCUCAGACAUCAGUUCUAUUGAACUGAGAGUAGGGGGAUGUGGACAUUUUUGUGAAGGUGCAAUGUGAGUGGACUGGAGAUGUCUAUUACAGAUCCUAAUUGAGUAGCGAUAUCCAGCUUGUAUCCUGGGGGCUGAUGAGGAGUAGGUUCUGACACUAACAGAUCAGAGUAGUCGAUCUAUCUCAUAUGGGAGAAGG
rnacentral:ncRNA from 1 species